UAUAUAUAUAUAUAUAUAUAUAUAUAUAUAUAUUAUUUUGACAACCGUUUGAAAAAAUAGUGCGUUUUCAAGAACAUAGAAAAUAUUGUUAUUAAAGAUCGAAAUAAUGAAUAGUAAAAAAAAAAAUUUGAGAUACAUGUUCAGUGGCGCGCUUUUUAGUAUAUACUUCGUUACCUCACGCCAACAAUCCUUUGGUGACAUAUACGUUUUUAAUUUGCAUGUUUUGAGUAAAGGUAAGACUUUUGGUUAAAGGCAUGGAAUAAGAAAAGCUGACUAUUUUAAAACUUUAUAUAGUUCUCAGAGGGAAUAAAAAUUGGAAAUUACUCUAGUGUAGAAAUUAAAAUAUUACACAUAAGUUUUUUAUUUUAAAGUAUAUAUAUAAAUUAGAAGAUAAUUGAAAAGAAAGUGAAAAUAAUUAGAAGAUUAUCAAAGGUGUGGCCAUGAGUAUGCCCCCUAUACGUGAGUAAAAUAUGAAAUAUUUCAUUCAAUUUUGACAUUUUUACCUAUGAUUUAUCAACGAUUCAAACUUUUAUACCGAUGGAGAAAAGCUUGUGGGUAGUUCUUUUUGAGUAAUUUCAUGUUUUCCUGUAGUGUCAUAGGUAUUUUCUUUAAUUUUUAACUACCAUAACCUUGGUGUUUUUGCUUAUUAUUCAAAUAUCUUCAGCACAAAUAUUUUUUUGAGUGUUUUAUUCAACUUAUUUCAUCCAUAUACUUAACAUAUCAACAAGUGUUUCUUAUUCAACUUAUUUCAUCCAUAAACUUAAAAUAUACUUAACUAAUCUAUAUACUUAACUUAAGCUAAACCUUGGGUUCCCUUUGGUUUUGAUUUUUUUAAAUAUUAUUUUAAAUAAUCUAAACGUUUAAACUUAGCAUAUCAAUAAGUGGUCUUCAUAAAAAAAAUUUAAGAGAAAUUUUUAAACUAUUACAACUUUUGUCAAAUUUUUAUCACUCUCAAAUACUUUAUUCUUUUUCUAUAAUUACAUUUAUGUAUCAUAUAAAAAUACAUUUUAUUCAAAUAAAUAUUUAAAUAAAAUGUUUAUCUUAAAAUUUAGGAAAAUAACUCAAAGGAUUAGCUUGUGGAAUAUCUUCUUUUAUAUUUAGUCGUUGCAACUUACAUUUCCAUUCAUUAAACCAUGCAAUAUUACUAAUAGAAAACUCUUCACGAUGCUUUAAGGAGUUGUUUAUCAAUAUAAAACCAACAUAUAUAGUUGCUAUAUCUUAUGAGAGGUCACAUAAAGUAAUCAAAACUAAUGCAUCAAAUUAGAUAGCUUACUUUGAAAAUGGGUUCCAAGAAGACAUCUCUUUGAAAGUGGGAAGAUCUCUAUGGGUUUUGGUCUCCUAACCUUCUUCUCGGAGGAUAUAUGGGUUGGAGACUCCACCCUUCGCCAUAGAUUCCCUCGUCUCUUUUUAAUUUUAGGGAGGUCGAUAGAUUGGAGAAGGAUAGUUGGAUAUGGGAUCUCAAGUGGAUGAGACCUUUUUUUUAUUACGAGUUGGAUUUUUUUAGCGAUCUCCCGUCUUUAAUUAGAGAUUUCAUCCAUUUUGUUGAGAGCAAUGAAUGGAGGUGGCGUGGCUCAAGCUGUGGGGUUUAUUCCAUGUCUUCCGCCUACUCUUAUCUUUUGACUCGCGUGUUUCUCCUAGGUCAUUAGGCAUCUCCCAUAGAGUUAGUUCUUUCGGCCAUUUGGUGUAGUUGGACCCCCUCUAAAGUUAUUUUUUUUCUCUUGACGAACUUCUUUUGCGAUCAUAUCUGAAUCAGAGAAACUUACUUAAGAGGGGAGUCCCCUUGACAUCUGAGACUUUUUCCCAUGUCUUAUGCUCGUUGCCACAUUGAGCCUCCUCCCAUAUCUUUGUGACCUGCGAGGUUGCAUCCUUGUUUUGAUGACAAGAUUUUCAGGUGGUCGAGAUGGUGUGAAGUUUUGCUUAGAUAUUUUUUUGACCAUUUCCUAGAUGUUUAUCAUUUCUUUGGGGAUGCUAGGACUAGAAGGGUUUGAGGAUGAUUUGGCAUAUCGUGAUUUGAUCGAUUUGAAAACACUACUACGUAAAAUCCACUUCAUAACGGUUGGAAAAGGGAAACCACAACGUCUAACCAAUCGUUGUGAGGUAAAUAGCGGUUCUAUGUAUGAUGCUUUCUACCACGUUCGCCUAAUCUUGAUUAUAAGAUAUGUAGCGUGCUACCUAUCACAACGGUUACUUCAAAUAACCAUUUUGAUAUUCUUUAAUGCAUAACAUUUAACGACGAUCGUUCUAAACAACUGUUUGAUAUAUACACUGAGUUUAUAUAAAUUAUGUGAAAUGCUUAUAACCUUUCAAUUUGAUCUAAAACAUUAUAUUAUGACAAAUUAAGUCAUAUUAGAAUUUAGAAGAACAAGUUACACUUUCAAUGCUAAACAAGAAUUCUUCAACUCAUUAUCCGCAUAUUUUUCUUUAACAGUUAGAAUUUGGUUUAAUGCUUAUAGUAUUUCAACAUCCCUUUCUUUCAUCUCUAGUUCAUUUUGUAAAAUAUUAUUUACUUUGAAAACAAAAUUAGAGAUAGAGAAAAGGGUGGUCGAAGAACUAGAACAAUUAAACCAAAUUCACACAAGUUUGCAGCGCUAACUUUAGCAUUAUCCUCGUUAACUUUUUUCAUUCAUCAUCCCUACCUACAAGUUAAAAUAAUCAGAAAGUUUAAACAUUAUGAAUUAAGCUAUUGAAACAUAUACAAUAAUAAAUAGAUUUUGAAACAUAAACUACUGUGAAGACGAACCUGUAAGGUAGUCAUUUGCUAAAAUUUGAUGCAACAAAGGUAACCCUUCGAAGAGAAGAUGAGUUCGCUACAUAAGUUUUGGUUUCCAUAUGAGAGAAAUGAGUGACAGAGAUGUUAGGAUUUUUUUAGAGAGACGAGUGGAAGACAUGUUAGAAUUUUGUUUUUGAGAGAGAUGGUUGUUAUCUAUUGAAGUGAGAGAUAACUUUGCUUAUACAUAAAUAUGUAACAUCUUUCACUACGGUUGCUAAUAUGAUAUGUGAUGAAAUGUUGCAAUAGUUUUUUCUGCAUCUUCAGUGACAUCAAAAAUGGGGAAGAGAUGAGCAUCUUAUUGAUUUGGAAAUUAUAUCUUGGUAGGUCCGUCGAAAACUCAUGUGAUUUGUCGGUCUAACUUGAGAACCCUAUCUUAUUUAUAAGCUAAUAGAGGGAUGAGUGCUUUCGACCUUUAUUGAAUGUAUUCUUGUUUCGUCUUUUAUGGUUUUGUUGCUCUUUUUAUGUUUUUUCAUAUCAGAGAUAUCUAAUUUUUCCUAAAAUUAGUGUUUUUGUGUUUCUAUGCUUGCUGCUUAUUCUGUUUCUACUUUCUUCUUGGUGGUUGGAUUGUUGUACUAGUAGUAGUUGUAUUUUGUUUUCUUUUUUAUUUUAAGUCCAAAUUUGAUAUUUCUAGUGCCUUUCUUAGGAGUCGUUGUAUUGUGGUUGUAUUAUCUAUAUGUUUUAUUUAUAUACCAUAUUUUCCUUUUAAAAAAAGGACAACUUACUUUGAAUUAACAUUACAUUACCUCUGUUAGUUAAAUUAUUUCAAACAACACACUUCUAAUUCGUAAAUAUAUCUUUUAAAAAUAUUAUUCAUAUUUUUUAUUUUACCUAUUCACUUCAUGCAAGGUUAUAAACUAUUUUUUUAUUUUAUGACAUGUUUAUUUAGUAUAUUAAAGGGACAAACAGUAUAGUAAUGUGCUUAAAGAAUAUUUAAUAACUAUCAUUAUUAAAACAAUGAGGCAUAUAUAAA
rnacentral:lncRNA from 1 species